GUGAGGUCAGCAGCCUCCAGCCCCCACGGGAGCAGCCUCUGGCAGGGAGGGGAGGGCAGGCGGAGGCCUCCGUCCCUCCUGAGCCCCUCACACUUCCUCCAGCCCCAGCCCUGGGAUCCCAAGGGAGAAUCCAGCUGGCAUCCAGUUAUGACAUAUCUCGAAUACCCAAGCACGAUCUUCCACCCCCUGCCGCUGCCCGGGUACCGCUCCCGCACCGCGCCCAGACGGACGGACAGACACACGGCUCAGCAUGUCCGACAGCCCCAGCCCAGGAGGGACCCCUGAAGAGGGGGCCCCCGAUGAACCCCAGGGGCAGCCCCCCUGCGCCAAGCUCAAAGCAGCUGUGGAGAAAUGGUGAGUCCCGGUGCAGCUGCCAUGAUGCAGGGUUGAGGGGUGGGGAGCACUGCUGGGGGGAGUCUGGCAUCCUGCCAACCUGACCCACGGAGAGCUGCUACAGGGAAUGGAGGGCAGGGGCUCCAGGCAGGGCUCAGUGGGUCUGCAGUCAGUGGGGCAGCAGGGUAGCUCAGUAGAGUGGGGGCAGGGAGCUCAGUGGGGCAGAAGGGCUCAGUGGGUUAGGGGAUGGGGGCCUAAGUGGGGCAGGGAGGGCUCAGUGGGGUGAGGGUUCAAGGUUUUCAUGAGGCAGGUAACUCCGUGGGGUGGGGAACGCAGUGGUGCAGGUGGAGGUCAGUGGGGUUGAAAUUGGGGGCAUUCGUGGGGCUGAGGGGCUCAGCGGGGUGGAGAGAUUCAUUGGGGUUACUUGGGAGCUCUGUUGGGUGGGGCCCCGGAGCUUAGUGGGGGUCUCAGGGGGGCAGAGUGUCUCAGUG
rnacentral:lncRNA from 1 species